rnacentral:lncRNA from 1 species
UUGUUUCAAAAACAGCAGAAAGCAAAUAGCACGUUUUAGCGUAUUCAUCUUUCCCUUGGGUACUUACACAAUUCCCUUAUAAGAACAGAAAUGGGCUGGAGAGAUGGCGCAGUAGAUAAAGUGCCUGCUGUGCAGGUGAGGACCUGAGUUCAGAUUCCAGCAUCCUUGUAAAAGCCAGGCACGAACUUAAAUGCAAGGGGAGUUUGUUAGCCAGCCAGCCUGAAGGGUGAAGUGGUAACCAGGCUCAUCAAGAGAUACUGUCUCACAAAAUAAAAAUGGACAGAGAUCUAGGGAUACACCCAACACCUGCCCCAACCUCCAAAUGCAUAUGCAUGUGCACAGAAAUCCCCAGGCAUACUAGCAUGGGUCCAUGUACACACACACACACACACACACACACACACACACACACACACACACACACACACACACACACAAGAACAGAUAAGUGUUCAUGUUCACCCAGCUCCUGCUGGUACCCAAGCAGGUCUUUCUUCUCCCCUGAAUUGGAAAGGUACAUUUAAACCAUCCAUCCUCUUUGCUGCCCCUCUCUGGUACGUAAGGAGCAUUCUGUUCAAUCUUGUUUGCACUAAGCAGAAUUUAUCCUGUAAGGCAAGGGAUGGUGAUAGCCAUGAUUUUUGUUGGCUGGGCCUUCUUCAAAGUGUCCUUGAAUCCAUCAAGCAAACCUUCUUGAGAAAGCUCUCUGAACUUAGUCUCUCUCCAUUUGGCUGAAAAAUAAUGGAUGGCCACAUCCAAACUCCAAAUUUCUGGAUGUGUCAUUUGCUUCAGCAUUACAGAGUCUGACUCUGUCUUUUAGUAUAGACGAUGUUUAUUAGCUAUGCACAAGGCUGUUUAACACAUGGCUCCAAGCCCUGCUUCAGACUUGGGAGCUUUCGGAACCUUCCUUACACUACCAAAUGCCAAUCACAUUGGCUAAAGAGAGUAUAUUAUAGUCUGUGUCUAAGCUUAGGAGCUUUAAGUGUAUGUUUUAAAGAAAUCUAUUGGAGUGGGUUGAACAUUUUAACUAAAUGCAAAAGGUUGGACAGAUUACAUGCAAAGAUGAUUGUUUAAUAAAGAGUAAUCUGAAUCCUGUAUAACUUAUUUGCACACCUUUCUUGCAUGAGGAACUGACAUUUUUAUAGUUGUUUGUAUAAGACGGUGGCAUAUUUUUGUAAACAUUUUUGACACUGAAUUGCAAUAAAUGUUUUUCCUACAAC